UACAGAGGGUGCAAGCGUUGUUCGGAAUUAUUGGGCGUAAAGGGCGCGUAGGCGGUGCGGUAAGUCUCUUGUGAAAUCUCCGGGCUCAACUCGGAGCCUGCAAGGGAAACUGCCGUGCUUGAGUAUGGGAGAGGUGAGUGGAAUUCCCGGUGUAGCGGUGAAAUGCGCAGAUAUCAGGAGGAACACCAGCGGCGAAGGCGGCGCUCUGGGCCGGUACUGACGCUGAGGAGCGAAAGCGUGGGUAGCAAACAGG
rnacentral:rRNA from 1 species